rnacentral:rRNA from 1 species
UACGUAGGGUGCGAGCGUUGUCCGGAAUUAUUGGGCGUAAAGGGCUCGUAGGCGGUUUGUCACGUCAGGAGUGAAAACUCGGGGCUCAACCCCGAGCCUGCUUCUGAUACGGGCAGACUGGAGGUAUGCAGGGGAGAACGGAAUUCCUGGUGUAGCGGUGAAAUGCGCAGAUAUCAGGAGGAACACCGGUGGCGAAGGCGGGUCUCUGGGCCGAUAUUGACGCUGAGGAGCGAAAGCGUGGGGAGCGAACAGG